rnacentral:lncRNA from 1 species
CUGCAUGUGCUUGGCAGCCUGUGACUAGCGUUAAUGUAUACACUUGCAGUUUUAAAACCGGCUACAUUCAACCAACCUUUCGGACGGCAAGAAUCAUCCCUCUUUUGCAUUUGCGCAAUCAAUUUUUUCCGCGUUAGCUCUGAUCCAAGCAAAAACUCGUUUAGUAAAAAGAAACAACACAGAGAAACAGAGAGAGAAUCCUACUUCGCUUUUCAGAUCUUGAAGCUCUUGGCUUUCUCAUUUGUUGUUGGUAAGAUUGUGUAAGAUACAGGACUGAUUAUGCUCAACACGUAUCAUUUUCGAUUUGAUCGCCUCUGAGGUGAAAGUUAUUAUAUGAGCAGUUUUAUCACGAGCUCGAGCCAACGUCUUUUUUAAUUGUUUAGCAUGUUUCUCAAAGAGCCUCUAUCGAUCAGUACAAAUCCUGAGGUGCAACGAAUAUUUACCGAUCC